CCUACGGGUGGCAGCAGUGGGGAAUAUUGCACAAUGGGGGAAACCCUGAUGCAGCGACGCCGCGUGAGUGAAGAAGUAAUUCGUUAUGUAAAGCUCUAUCAGCAGGGAAGAAAAUGACGGUACCUGAGUAAGAAGCCCCGGCUAACUACGUGCCAGCAGCCGCGGUAAUACGUAGGGGGCAAGCGUUACCCGGAUUUACUGGGUGGAAAGGGAGCGUAGACGGCAGUGCAAGUCUGGAGUGAAAGGCGGGGGCUCAACCCCCGGACUGCUCUGGAAACUGUACGGCUGGAGUGCAGGAGAGGUAAGUGGAAUUCCUGGUGUAGCGGUGAAAUGCGUAGAUAUUAGGAGGAACACCAGUAGCGAAGGCGGCUUACUGGACUGUAACUGACGUUGAGGCUCGAAAGCGUGGGGAGCAAACAGGAUUAGAUACCCCAGUAGUC
rnacentral:rRNA from 1 species